UGGUGGUGGUUGACCGCAAGGGGAAGGCAAAAGCAACUGAUGACAUAGCUCCUAGGGCCACUCGUCAGAAAACCAUGCACGAGAUGCUCGCUACUUCAUCUCCAUGCAACCUCACUGGGCCUGAUAUACCAAGUGGAUUAGUUGACACGUCUAUGUACUAUGUGAUGACUGAAGAUCAUGUGAUGCAACCGCUUAUUGAAGAAGCUGGUGCUGCCGGCGAGGGUUCGCAUGCCAAAUACAUUGCUAAGUACACUCCGAUCGGCAACAAAAGGCUUACUCUCCCUGGGGUUGAGGGAAGCCCUGAUCCGACUCCUA